AAGGAUUUAAGUUAAAAACAAACUAAUAGCCUUCAAAGCUGUAAAUAGAAUAAGGUUUCUAGGCCUUA
rnacentral:tRNA from 1 species